CCAAAAACUUAUUUUUCGAAAGAUCCAAGGAUAAAGCAUUUGAGGGAAGGAGUGGCAAAGGACCUUCAAAAAGGUUUGAACUCAAAUCUACUCCUGGGCUACCAAUGAAUUUUGAGGAUAAAUCUGGCACCAUGCCACUUAAUUGGUUGUAAGAGAUAUUCAGAAAAGACAGUCGGGGAGAUAGGUCCCAAAACCACUUAGGAACAGGACCUGAAAUUCCAGCAUCUGAGAUAUCAAGCACAGAAAAGUUUUUCUGAGUUUGAAGCCAUUUCGGGAAACGAGGCCCCAAUUUACAGGACAUAAGACCUAUUACGUCCAACUGAAAAGGAGGUAGCCAAUCAGAGUCGAAUUUCAAAGCCAGAG
rnacentral:misc_RNA from 1 species